rnacentral:rRNA from 1 species
UACGUAGGGUGCAAGCGUUGUCCGGAAUUAUUGGGCGGAAAGAGCUCGUAGGCGGUUUGUCGCGUCUGCUGUGAAAACUCGGGGCUUAACCCCGGGCCUGCAGUGGGUACGGGCAGACUAGAGUGCGGUAGGGGAGACUGGAAUUCCUGGUGUAGCGGUGAAAUGCGCAGAUAUCAGGAGGAACACCGGUGGCGAAGGCGGGUCUCUGGGCCGUAACUGACGCUGAGGAGCGAAAGCGUGGGGAGCGAACGGG